UACGAAGGGGGCUAGCGUUGCUCGGAUUCAUUGGGCGUAAAGGGUGCGUAGGCGGCGCGGUAAGUCUGAUGUGAAAUCCCUCGGCUCAACCGGGGAACUGCAUUUGAAACUGUUCGGCUCGAGUCCGGGAGAGGGUAGUGGAAUUCCCAGUGUAGCGGUGAAAUGCGUAGAUAUUGGGAGGAACACCGGUGGCGAAGGCGGCUACCUGGACCGGUACUGACGCUGAGGCGCGAAAGCUAGGGUAGCAAACAGG
rnacentral:rRNA from 1 species